CAGGGAGACAACAAAAUGUUUAAUAUUAUUUUGUCACCUUAGGUCGAUCGGUAUCUCACAUUCUUAAUUUAUUAAGAAUUUCAUUUCCUAAGUUUUUCUAGGUCACACCCAUUAUUUUUCCUGGGCCAUUAGCUCAGGUGGUUAGAGCGCACCCCUGAUAAGGGUGAGGCCCCUGGUUCAAGUCCAGGAUGGCCCAUAUCUCUAUGUUGGGGGUAUAGCUCAGUUGGUAGAGCGCCUGCUUUGCAAGCAGGAUGUCAGCGGUUCGAGUCCGCUUACCUCCACUGAUUACCACCUCUUCCAUAAUCCGUAGAAGGGAAAAAUUUUGUAUUGUGAUCAUAAUUCUGAACGAAUCUAGCUUCCUAAUGAAAUCAUUAAGAUGCUGGACUCAUUGAAUUGAUUUCAUUGUUUUCAGAGAACCUUGACAACUGCAUAGAUUAUUUUAAAGACAAUAAGCAUCUUUAAUGAUGCAGAUUUAUUAUUUGUGCUAAUGCAUUAAUAACAAUUCUAUUAAGCUGAUGCUUCAAUUUUGAAGUUAUU
rnacentral:tRNA from 1 species